rnacentral:rRNA from 1 species
CCUACGUGAGGCAGCAGUGGGGAAUAUUGCACAAUGGGGGGAACCCUGAUGCAGCGACGCCGCGUGAGCGAUGAAGUAUUUCGGUAUGUACCGCUCUAUCAGCAGGGAAGAAAAUGACGGUACAUGACUCAGAAGCCCCGGCUAACUACGUGCCAGCAGCCGCGGUAAUACGUAGGGGGCAAGCGUUAUCCGGCUUUACUGGGUGUAAAGGGAGCGUAGACGGGUGGGCAAGUCUGGAGUGAAAGGCAUGGGCUCAACCUGUGGACUGCAUUGGAAACUGUUCGGCUUGAGUGUCGGAGAGGCAAGUGGAAUUACUAGUGUAGCGGUGAAAUGCGUAGAUAUUAGGAGGAACACCAGUGGCGAAGGCGGCUUGCUGGACGAUGACUGACGUUGAGGCUCGAAAGCGUGGGGAGCAAACAGGAUUAGAUACCCGAGUAGUC